AUGCAGAGCUCCUCUGCUGGAUAGAUAAGAGAAUUGGGGUACUCGGUUUCGCCCAUUCUCUUAAGGGUUGAGAAGACAAAGGUUACUUGAUUUCGUCCGCCUCCUCGAGGUUGUACUCCAUGCAUCGAGCUAGUUACUGGCCUUCGCCUGCUCUUUGCUCACACUUCUGAAGCACUUGAAGUGUUUGCACUCCUUGCGUUG
rnacentral:lncRNA from 1 species